rnacentral:lncRNA from 10 species
AACUUUGCCAGAGACAGAUUAGACAACUUGCCCAAGCUCAUGAAGUUUGUAAGUGGCAGAGAUGGGACUCACAGUCCAGAGAACACAGAGACAACUGAGGCGGAGACCCUAUUUCCAGGAACCAAUACAUUACCUGUGGUAACUGAAUUUGGCUGACAGCCUGGGAGUGACCACGAGGUGGCAGCACAGGAGACACUCAGCCUUGAAUUCAACUUGUACUCCCCUGACUGGAGGAGUAAGCCAGAGAAAGGUGACAAUGGCCCAGAAAGCAAGAGAAACUCCAAAGCAUCAACACCAAAAUGGAAAUCAAGAUAAGAAUCCAAAACAGAGGGUGGCAAAAGCAAGGAGCCAGCAGAAGGGGCAGAGCCCGGAGGCCACAGUGUAUGAUGGGAGAGACCUCUGGCUGAGCCUACCACCCCAGUCCCAGUGGAACAAGCUGAAGCACUCCAACUCAAUGGAACCGCUGCUUUAAACAACUCUCAAGACACUAUUCAUAAUAAGCCUGGAGUUCUUUGGGGUACUUUAUUCCUUUCUUUCAGAGAUAUUCACAUGUGCUCUUUUCACUUUUGCAAACUUUUCUGUAAAGAUCACUUACCUCUUUUUUACUUCAUUUAAGCAUUUGAAAAUUCAUGUUCAUGUACAUCUUCAGAUAUUCUCUUUCUCUUUGGGGGACAAUGAGAAGCCCUGUCACCUUGGUUACCAAGAUCACCAAUGGCCUGUAGUUAUUGUACAGUGCUGUUCUUGGCAAGGGCCAAGCCAUUAGAAACCAGCUGUCUUAUAAAAUGCAAGUGCUCUGCCAUCCCUGGAAACUUCUUUGAGGACGUCUAAGAAAUAUUAUUAUCACUUAAACCUACAGUAGGUUUGGUGUAUCUACCAAAGGGAAAGGACUGGCUCUGCCCUCCAGCCAUCAUAAAACCGACACAUAUGUUUCCAAACAUAAAAGACUGAGAAAAAAUUAAUGCUCUGUGUAUAACAUUCUUAGCUUUCCUUUUGAGUGGCUGUUUUUAAUUGAAUGUUACCAUUUGGUUUCUAUAAUGGGUGAAGGACUGAAGGUAGGGAGUGAGGAGGAAAGAAGAAAAGAAAGAAGAGUGAUGUGGUACCAGAACAAAGAGAAUAUUAAAGGCAAGGCAGAAUGGCUGAAGGCUGAAGGAUGAGGGAUGAAGAUAAGUCAGGGUUUCAAGUCUUGGCUUUGACACUCACUAGCUGGAUGAUUCAGUUACUCAACUCUUUAAGCUUGUUUCCUCAAUUGUAAAUGGGAAUGAUACUCAAACCUAACUCACCGGGUUGUUGGGGGGACUGAUUAAAAUCAUGCAGGUAAAACAAUUAACUAAAUAAUUCCUAGCACAUAGUGAGUGAUCAGUAAGUGAUCUAGAUUAUUAUCACAAUAGUAGUGAUGCAGAGAUUAAACAGAAUAAAAUAAAAUAAAUGCUACGUUCGUUCUAUUCAUUUCAUUCCUGCAAUAUCAUAUGUCGAUUUUCUCUCUUUGGUGUUCAUGGAGAGAUAGGGUAGUAGAAAUUGGUUGGGUAAAAAACUGCAUUCAGGAAGCACCAUGUUUCAACCAUGUUCUCAAAAAAUUCAUAUGUUGGAAUCCUUAUCCCUGUGUGAUGGUGUUAGGAGGUGGGACUUGUAGGAGGUUAUUAAGUCAUGAGAGUGGAGCCCUCAUCAAUAGGAUGAAUGUCCAAAUAAAAGAGACCCCAGAGAGCUUCCUCAUCUCUUCCACCAUGUGAGGACACAGUGAGAAGACGGCCAACUAUGGAUCAGUAAGCAGGCCCCCACCAGACACCAAAUUUGUCAGCACUUUGACCUUGGACUUUCCAGCUUCCAGAAUGGUGAGAAAUAUAUGUCUGUUGUUUAUAACCCACUUGCUCUAUGGUAGUUUUUUAUAGCAGCCUGAAUAGAGUAAGACAAAGAACAAACUCACAAGGUCAUGCAACAAGUGCCAUGGGAGCCACACCACAGCUUCCAGGAGUAGACCAUGGCAAAAGGAUAAUUGUAAGAACAUAUCUCUUGGCAAUCACUUUUCUAGGAUAUUUAAUUUGAGCUGCCAUCCUCCUUUCUGUGAACUAGAAGUAAAAGUAAUUCACAGACUUGUUUUCCAUUUGACAAAUCUCCAUCUCUAACAGCAUCAUCUCUCCCAGCCUCCACCUCAUCCCUCUCAACAGCUGGGACCAGUUGGGGUCCAGGGUCACUAUUCUGGAGGCAGGGUUCUUUGGUAUGUGUGCAGUUCCUGAGUUGCUGCUUGGCUGCAAUUUAUCCUCCCUUCAGGAGAUGGAAUUGCAGCACACACACCCCAUCCAGAUGAACUUCCACUGCCCCCG